CGAACACGUCUAGAAACCAUGCACGUUUGUUUACAAACAAACGGGACUCCAGCGUGCUUGACCGGGCUAUACAAGAGGCGAGGUCGUUAAAGAAAGGCUAGGGGAUAUAUGAGUUUUCACAGGGGAAGAAAUUCUCUGUCAAGACAAUACGAGAGGAAAGAUAAGAUGAGAGAAGAAGAGAAACGGGAAAGAUACGUUUCUUUUAGAGCGAAAAUCGAAAACUUUCAACAUGACGAGACGUAAACAGACAGGUGAAGACGAGAGGAAACAGACAGCAUUAGAUCCUGCCUUGAUAGAUGAAGAUCUCCUUUCCAUAGUGAAAACUGCAAAAGCUUUACAUAACGAGGACUAUUUGUAUAAGCAUGACAUAUCCCCCGAAGAUCUACAAGGUCAAAG